UAUUUUUAUAUGACGCCAGUUUUGUGUUCCAAAGUGCAGGUCUUACUUGAAUUUCUGCAAUUAAAACCUCAGAAACGUUCUCCUCUGUUGAAGCCAUAUUGACGACUAAUCGCGCCAAAUCGCAAUAGAAAAACAAUUCCGUUUGUUUUCGUCGCAAUCGCGUCGCGUCACCGCGCUAAUCGCUCUCACUCUGAAUGCUUCUAAUUAGUAACAUUAGAUUGUUUUACUUUCGUCGCGUCGCUCAACGCAACGCUAUCGCGACGCGACGCACGUCGCUCCCACUCUGAACAGUGCUUUAUGGUUUAGUUGCAGCGACACGAGAUUUAAUUUACGUUUACUGCGCAACAAUUGAAGACUGCAAAUAUUACUCUGUCAAAUGGAUAUCAGAAAAUUCUUUGAAAGAGGGUAAAAACUGACUAAACAAUUAAAACUGAAUGAAUUGUCACGAAGCGCGUCCUUUUAAAACCCGAUGGAACAGUUUCGAAAUAUUUAGAAUUAUCUUCAUUGUUUUUGCCCAAAGAGACCAAUGAUUUUAGGAGAAUACUGACAGUCAAAGCAAAGUGGGACUGUUCGGACUACGAGUGUACCCUCAACGUUAUUUUAUUCAAAGUUCAGUCCUACUCGCGCCAUCUAUCGGACGGCGUUUGUAACGCGCCACUUGCCUUGCCUCGAUGAACCUGUUUUACCUGCGGUUAGCUGAACUGAG